GACAGAGAAAAGGACUACUUGAUCUUAAAGCAAGAACUAUGAAGAAAAGGUGAAGAAAGGAAGGAAAAUCCAUGAUAAUUCAUCAUAUAUCAUAAGACAUCAGAAUCUGGACAUAAGAACCAUGCCAGUCACUGUGAAGCUAAACAGAGAGUGAAGAAGUUCUCUAUGAGGCCCAUGGGUUUACAGAAGUCUGUCAAUCUCUCUGUCCAUCUUCUGGAUCAUUAUUCAAGUUACUAUCCCCAAUUUUGCUGGGUACAUAAUAUCUAUCCCAGCUGUGUAGAUCAUUUUUCUUCCUUGUGGAUUAGGAAUUUGUUCCCCUUAAAUUAUCUCUGAGUGAAUAUGCUGCUCAAAAAAAGUAGUAGGAAUGUCAACCUCACCUGUGUUUGUUUUGUGUAUGUGUUUAUAUACCUACCUCUUCACCCUUUUACUGUGAUUGCCAUACAAAAAGUUAAAGCUAUGCCUGGAACCAGUAGCAAACAUACUUUGGAAUGUCAUGCUUUCUUUAUUUCUUUUGACACAUCUUAUUUUGGUUCUCUCAAGGAUCUGUAUGUUUUUCAAGGUCAGGAAAGGCAAUUUGAAAGAGUCCCUUAUUGAUGUAAAAAAUUAUCCAGAUGUUUAGUCAUUUUAUCAGAAGUGACCAGUAGGCUGGGAAAUUUACAUGGAUGUUUACUAAAUUCAAUUUGCAAAACAGAAAAGUAUAUUGAAUAAAAGCAAAGAUGGCCAUUGCC
ensembl:lincRNA